UACACGACCGUACCGCAAACCGACACUGGUGCGCGAGAUGAGUAUUCUAAGGCGCUUGAGAGAACUCAGGAGAAGGAACUCGGCAAAUUGACACCGUAACUUCGGAAGAAGGUGUGCCUUUAGUAGGUGAAGUCCCUCGCGGAUGGAGCCCAAUGAGGUUGCAAAAAAUCGGUGGCUGCGACUGUUUAUUAAAAACACAGCACUCUGCAAACACGAAAGUGGACGUAUAGGGUGUGACGCCUGCCCGGUGCUGGAAGAUUAAAUGAUGGGGUGCAAGCUCUUGAUUGAAGUCCCAGUAAACGGCGGCCGUAACCAUAACGGUCCUAAGGUAGCGAAAUUCCUUGUCGGGUAAGUUCCGACCUGCACGAAUGGCGUAACGAUGGCCACACUGUCUCCUCCUGAGACUCAGCGAAGUUGAAAUGUUUGUGAUGAUGCAAUCUCCCCGCGGAAAGACGGAAAGACCCCAUGAACCUUUACUGUAGCUUUGUAUUGGACUUUGAACAGAUCUGUGUAGGAUAGGUGGGAGGCUUUGAAGCAGGGUCGCUAGAUCUUGUGGAGCCAACGUUGAAAUACCACCCUGGUGUGUUUGAGGUUCUAACCUAGGCCCGUAAUCCGGGUUGGGGACAGUGCAUGGUAGGCAGUUUGACUGGGGCGGUCUCCUCCCAAAGUGUAACGGAGGAGUUCGAAGGUACGCUAGUUACGGUCGGACAUCGUGACGAUAGUGCAAUGGCAUAAGCGUGCUUAACUGCGAGACUGACAAGUCGAGCAGAUGCGAAAGCAGGACAUAGUGAUCCGGUGGUUCUGUAUGGAAGGGCCAUCGCUCAACGGAUAAAAGGUACUCUGGGGAUAACAGGCUGAUACCGCCCAAGAGUUCAUAUCGACGGCGGUGUUUGGCACCUCGAUGUCGGCUCAUCUCAUCCUGGGGCUGUAGCCGGUCCCAAGGGUAUGGCUGUUCGCCAUUUAAAGAGGUACGUGAGCUGGGUUUAAAACGUCGUGAGACAGUUUGGUCCCUAUCUUCCGUGGGCGCUGCAGAUUUGAGGAAGCCUGCUCCUAGUACGAGAGGACCGGAGUGGACGCACCUCUGGUGUAUCGGUUGUCACGCCAGUGGCAUUGCCGAGUAGCUAUGUGCGGAAGAGAUAACCGCUGAAAGCAUCUAAGCGGGAAACUCGUUUCAAGAUGAGAUCUGCCGGGGCCUUGAGCCCCCUGAAGAGUCGUUCAAGACCAGGACGUUGAUAGGUCGGGUGUGGAAGCGCAGUAAUGCGUUAAGCUAACCGAUACUAAUUGCUCGUGCGGCUUGACCAA
rnacentral:rRNA from 1 species